CUAACUGAUUAUAGCGGCUACUGUAUUAUUCUAAGUGAAGAAAGGUGAAUAAAGAUUAUGGAGUUCUUAGAUUUAAGGUGAGGCUCCAUUUUGUAUUGACCGUCACCAAAAUCUACUGACAGGACAGAAGCUUGUAUGCAAUUAACAUUGACAAGUCUUCUUGUUUUCUUCUUGUAGUUGCACUUUUUUAUCCCAACAUAACCAAUUAAAUAAUGCAAUAGGCUAAUAAUUGUUUGCUGAUGUUAUUGAUUUUUGCUGGUUUAGUAAUUGUUCAUGAUCAUAUAUAUUUUUUUUGUUGUAUGUUACAGAUGGAACAAUCACAAAGUAAUCCACAAGCACAAGACAUUGUUGUUCAAGAAUCCCAAACUGGUACUUCUAGAGCGUCAAUUCAAAGCCUGUGGUGAGUUCGUCUCCUUAUUGGUGAUAUUUUUCUACACUUACUCUUCAAGAAGAGGAGAAGAACAAGAACAAAGACAAAGAAGAAACGGUGAUAUUUUACCGCUGGAUUUGCGGUGAUGAAUUUUGUUU